rnacentral:SRP_RNA from 1 species
GCUAGGUGUGGUGGCUCACACCUGUAAUCCCAGCACUUUGGGAGGCCGAGGUGGGAGGAUCACUUGAGCUCAGGAAUUCGAGACCAGCCUGGGCAACAUAGUGAGACUCCAUCUCUA